rnacentral:rRNA from 1 species
UACGAAGGGGGCUAGCGUUGCUCGGAAUUACUGGGCGUAAAGCGCACGUAGGCGGCUUUCUAAGUCGGGGGUGAAAUCCUGGAGCUCAACUCCAGAACUGCCUUCGAUACUGGAGAGCUCGAGUCCGGGAGAGGUGAGUGGAACUGCGGAGUGUAGAGGUGAAAUUCGUAGAUUAUUCGCAAGAACACCAGUGGCGAAGGCGGCUCACUGGCCCGGUACUGACGCUGAGGUGCGAAAGCGUGGGAGCAAACAGG